rnacentral:tRNA from 1 species
GUCAGGAUGGCCGAGUGGUCUAAGGCGCCAGACUCAAGGUCUCCCUUGCCUACGGGCUUUCUGGUCUCCGAAUGGAGGCGUGGGUUCGAAUCCCACUUCUGACA